AGCAGAUGCUGAUCAUGAUUAUGACUACAUGACUGAAGUAAAAAAGAGGCACAAAGAUGAUCCAGAGUCAUAUUCGGAGGUCACAUAUACAGAGGUCUCAUGGUCAUAUGUGGAUAAAGAUGAUUCCAUGGCAGAGUCAAAUGAUGGGACAUACUCAGAAGUCAUAACAAAAAUAGAAAUGCA